CCUACGGGAGGCAGCAGUGGGGGAUAUUGGACAAUGGGGGGAACCCUGAUCCAGCGACGCCGCGUGAGUGAAGAAGUAUUUCGGUAUGUAAAGCUCUAUCAGCAGGGAAGAAAGAAAUGACGGUACCUGAGUAAGAAGCCCCGGCUAACUACGUGCCAGCAGCCGCGGUAAU
rnacentral:rRNA from 1 species